rnacentral:rRNA from 1 species
CUACGGGAGGCUGCAGUGGGGAAUAUUGGACAAUGGGCGAAAGCCUGAUCCAGCCAUGCCGCGUGUGUGAAGAAGGCCUUCGGGUUGUAAAGCACUUUCAGUGGGGAAGAAAGCCUUGGGGCUAAUACCCUCGAGGAAGGACAUCACCCACAGAAGAAGCACCGGCUAACUCCGUGCCAGCAGCCGCGGUAAUACGGAGGGUGCGAGCGUUAAUCGGAAUUACUGGGCGUAAAGCGCGCGUAGGCGGUCUGAUAAGCCGGUUGUGAAAGCCCCGGGCUCAACCUGGGAACGGCAUCCGGAACUGUCAGGCUAGAGUGCAGGAGAGGAAGGUAGAAUUCCCGGUGUAGCAGUGAAAUGCGUAGAGAUCGGGAGGAAUACCAGUGGCGAAGGCGGCCUUCUGGACUGACACUGACGCUGAGGUGCGAAAGCGUGGGUAGCAAACAGGAUUAGAUACCCCAGUAGUC